rnacentral:rRNA from 1 species
AGCAGCCGCGGGAACACCGGCGGCCCGAGUGGUGAUCGUGAUUAUUGGGUCUAAAGGGUCCGUAGCCGGUUUGGUCAGUCCUCCGGGAAAUCUGAUAGCUCAACUAUUAGGCUUUCGGGGGAUACUGCCAGACUUGGAACCGGGAGAGGUAAGAGGUACUACAGGGGUAGGAGUGAAAUCUUGUAAUCCCUGUGGGACCACCUGUGGCGAAGGCGUCUUACCAGAACGGGUUCGACGGUGAGGGACGAAAGCUGGGGGCACGAACCGGAUUAGAUACCCGGGUAGUCCCAGCCGUAAACGAUGCUCGCUAGGUGUCAGGCAUGGCGCGACCGUGUCUGGUGCCGCAGGGAAGCCGUGAAGCGAGCCACCUGGGAAGUACGGCCGCAAGGCUGAAACUUAAAGGAAUUGGCGGGGGAACACAACAACGGGUGGAAGCCUGCGGUUUAAUUGGACUCAACGCCGGACAACUCACCGGGGGCGACAGCAAUAUGUAGGCCAAGCUGAAGACUUUGCCUGAAUCGCUGAGGGGUGGUGCAUGG